rnacentral:rRNA from 1 species
AUGAACGCUAGCGACAGGCUUAACACAUGCAAGUCGAGGGGCAGCACAGGUAGCAAUACCGGGUGGCGACCGGCGCACGGGUGAGUAACGCGUAUGCAACUUACCUAUCAGAGGGGGAUAACCCGGCGAAAGUCGGACUAAUACCGCAUGAAGCAGGGGCCCCGCAUGGGGAUAUUUGCUAAAGAUUCAUCGCUGAUAGAUAGGCAUGCGUUCCAUUAGGCAGUUGGCGGGGUAACGGCCCACCAAACCGACGAUGGAUAGGGGUUCUGAGAGGAAGGUCCCCCACAUUGGUACUGAGACACGGACCAAACUCCUACGGGAGGCAGCAGUGAGGAAUAUUGGUCAAUGGGCGUAAGCCUGAACCAGCCAAGUCGCGUGAGGGAUGAAGGUUCUAUGGAUCGUAAACCUCUUUUAUAAGGGAAUAAAGUGCGGGACGUGUCCCGUUUUGUAUGUACCUUAUGAAUAAGGAUCGGCUAACUCCGUGCCAGCAGCCGCGGUAAUACGGAGGAUCCGAGCGUUAUCCGGAUUUAUUGGGUUUAAAGGGUGCGUAGGCGGCCUUUUAAGUCAGCGGUGAAAGUCUGUGGCUCAACCAUAGAAUUGCCGUUGAAACUGGGGGGCUUGAGUAUGUUUGAGGCAGGCGGAAUGCGUGGUGUAGCGGUGAAAUGCAUAGAUAUCACGCAGAACCCCGAUUGCGAAGGCAGCCUGCCAAGCCAUUACUGACGCUGAUGCACGAAAGCGUGGGGAUCAAACAGGAUUAGAUACCCUGGUAGUCCACGCAGUAAACGAUGAUCACUAGCUGUUUGCGAUACACUGUAAGCGGCACAGCGAAAGCGUUAAGUGAUCCACCUGGGGAGUACGCCGGCAACGGUGAAACUCAAAGGAAUUGACGGGGGCCCGCACAAGCGGAGGAACAUGUGGUUUAAUUCGAUGAUACGCGAGGAACCUUACCCGGGUUUGAACGCAUUCGGACCGAGGUGGAAACACCUUUUCUAGCAAUAGCCGUUUGCGAGGUGCUGCAUGGUUGUCGUCAGCUCGUGCCGUGAGGUGUCGGCUUAAGUGCCAUAACGAGCGCAACCCUUGCCACUAGUUACUAACAGGUAAAGCUGAGGACUCUGGUGGGACUGCCAGCGUAAGCUGCGAGGAAGGCGGGGAUGACGUCAAAUCAGCACGGCCCUUACAUCCGGGGCGACACACGUGUUACAAUGGCGUGGACAAAGGGAAGCCACCUGGCGACAGGGAGCGAAUCCCCAAACCACGUCUCAGUUCGGAUCGGAGUCUGCAACCCGACUCCGUGAAGCUGGAUUCGCUAGUAAUCGCGCAUCAGCCAUGGCGCGGUGAAUACGUUCCCGGGCCUUGUACACACCGCCCGUCAAGCCAUGGGAGCCGGGGGUACCUGAAGUCCGUAACCGCGAGGAUCGGCCUAGGGUAAAACUGGUGACUGGGGCU